rnacentral:tRNA from 1 species
GGAGAGGUUCCCGAGUGGACAAAGGGAGCAGACUGUAAAUCUGCUGCGCAAGCUUCGAAGGUUCGAAUCCUUCUCUCUCCA